AGAAUGUCUGUUGACACUCAGGGAACAUUUUCUGAACUUGUCCUUGUAACAUGGUGCCAGGCACUACAGAAAAUCUGAGCCAAAAAAAGCCCUGGAUCUGAGCUCUUCUGAAAUCCUGUGUAAUAUAGCACAUGAGAAAAGAAUACUCGGAUAUGAAUCAGAAGACUUCUAUGCCUGUCUCAAUUUUGCCAUUCUCUAACUCAGAAGUUAGUAACCAUUUUUGGUGAAGGUGAGCAUCCCCAGAGAAUGAGAUGGAAGGGGCAUAACCUUUUUGGACCUAAGCUGGGAAGUCUAUACAAGUCACAACUUUCCCAGAUUCAAGUGGA